rnacentral:rRNA from 1 species
GAGAGUAAAACAGUACGUGAAAUUGUUGAAAGGGAAACGCUUGAAGUCAGUCGUGCCGGCGUUGGAUUCAGCUUGCUUCGCGGAGCAGGCGCAUUUCCGCGCAUGGCAGGUCAGCGUCAGUUUUGCGCGGCGUGAAAAGGCUCGGGUAAGGUAGCUCUCUUCGGGGAGUGUUAUAGACCUGGGCAGAUGCGCUGCGCGGGACUGAGGAUUGCAGCGGACACCCCCUCGGGGGCGCGGCGACCGAACCCUGCUCGGCCACCCUCGUUCGAUAGCGUGCUAGCGGACGCGGGAGCGGCAGUGCACCGGAACAGGCAAGCCAGCGGUUCGCUAAGGAUGCUGACGUAAUGGCUUUAAACGA